UUGUAAAAAUUAAUUUAAAAUUUAUUAAAUUUACCUUUUGCAUAAUGGUUUAAUUAACUUUAAAAGAUUUUUUUUCCCCGAAAUAAGAAGAUCUAAUAAAAUUAAAAAAUAUGUUUCAAAAUAUUUUUCUAAUUUUUUAUUAGGUGUGAAAGGCUAAUCAAUUCUUAUUAUAUCUGGAUUAGAUUAAAAUGUAUUUAGUACAGGCUUAAAGCUGAGGAGCCCCCUGUUAAGGGGGGGCUCCACAAGGAAUUAAAUUUUAAUUUUAUUUUUAGGAUAAUUCUUUAAUAAUAAUUUUUUUGUUUUACUUAUUUAUUUUUAUUUGCUUCUUUAAAGUUUUUCUAAAAAUUUUUGAAUUCUUUAUAAUUUUUAUAAUGUUAAAAUAAGUAUUAGUUAAUAGUUUAAAUAUAGGAACUCGGCAAAAUUUUUACUCAACUGUUUAUCAAAAACAUAGUUUUAUGAAAUUAUAUAAAAUGAAUUCUGCCCAAUGAAAAUUUUAAAUGGCCGCAGUACUUUAACUGUGCUAAGGUAGCAUAAUAAUUUGGCUUUUAAUUAAGGUCUGGUAUGAAAGGAAUUUUAUGGGUAAUAACUGUCUUUAUCUAAUUUCUAAAAAAUUACUUAAAAGGUGAAAAUUCCUUUAAUUUUAAAAUAGACGAGAAGACCCUAGGAGUUUUCUUUUUGUUGGGGCGACAUUUUAGUAAAUUAACCUAAAAGAAAAAUUUAACGAUUGUAUUAAUUUUAUUUAAACUACCCUAGGGAUAACAGCAUAUUUAAAUUACUUGUUUGUGACCUCGAUGUUGGACUAGG
rnacentral:rRNA from 1 species